rnacentral:rRNA from 1 species
ACCCCUACGGGGGGCAGCAGUGGGGAAUAUUGCGCAAUGGGCGAAAGCCUGACGCAGCGACGCCGCGUGGAGAAUGAAGGUCUUAGGACUGUAAACUCCUGUUAAGUGGGAAGAAAAGUCUAUCAGUAAUAUGGGUAGAUUAUGACGGUACCGCUAGAGAAAGCACCGGCUAACUUCGUGCCAGCAGCCGCGGUAA